rnacentral:rRNA from 1 species
AGGUGGUUAUAGCACGAGGGUUCCACCUCUUCCCAUUCCGAACAGAGAAGUUAAGCCUCGUCACGCCGAUGGUACUGCGUAACAGUGGGAGAGUAGGUAGCCGCCAU